rnacentral:rRNA from 1 species
AUUGAACGCUGGCGGCAGGCCUAACACAUGCAAGUCGAACGGAGUGGCGGACGGGUGAGUAAUGCCUAGGAAUCUGCCUGGUAGUGGGGGAUAACGUCCGAAAACGGGCGCUAAUACCGCAUACUAUCAGAUGAGCCCAGGUCGGUUUAGCUAGUUGGUGGGGUAAAGGCCUACCAAGGCGACGAUCCGUAACUGGUCUGAGAGGAUGAUCAGUCACCAGGGGACUGAGACACGGUCCAGACUCCUACGGGAGGAAGCAGUGGGGAAUAGUGGAAAAUGGGCGAAAGCCUGAUCCAGCCAGGCCGCGUGUGUGAAGAAGGUCGUCGGAUUGUAAAGCACUUUAAGUUGGGAGGCGUUACCAACAGAAUAAGCACAGGCUAACUUCGUGCCAGCAGCCGCGGUAAUUC